CUCCGAAUGCCGUCAUCUUAUACUUGGGAGUCAGACUGUGGGUGAUAAGAUUCAUAGUCGAAAGGGCAACAGCCCAGAUCGUCAGCUAAGGUCCCUAAAUGUAAGUUAAGUGGUAAAGGAUGUGGGAUUGCACAGACACCCAGGAUGUUGGCUUAGAAGCAGCCACUCAUUCAAAGAGUGCGUAAUAGCUCACUGGUCGAGUGAUCCUGCGCCGAAGAUUUCCGGGGCUAAAAC
rnacentral:rRNA from 1 species